rnacentral:rRNA from 1 species
GAUCAUGGCUCAGAUUGAACGCUGGCGGCAGGCUUAACACAUGCAAGUCGAACGGUAACAUAAAGGAGCUUGCUUCUUUGAUGACGAGUGGCGGACGGGUGAGUAAUGCUUGGGAAUCUAGCUUAUGGAGGGGGAUAACUAUGGGAAACUGUAGCUAAUACCGCGUAGAAUCGGGAGAUGAAAGUGUGGGACCUUCGGGCCACAUUCCAUAGGAUGAGCCCAAGUGGGAUUAGGUAGUUGG